UAGAGUGUCUCCUUGCCAAGGAGAAGGUCGCGGGUUCAAAUCCCGUCGCCCGCU
rnacentral:tRNA from 1 species